UACGGAGGGUGCAAGCGUUAUCCGGAUUCACUGGGUUUAAAGGGUGCGUAGGCGGGCAGGUAAGUCCGUGGUGAAAUCUCUGAGCUUAACUCCGAAACUGCAUUCGAUACUGCCGUGCUUGAGGACUGGAGAGGAGACUGGAAUUUACGGUGUAGCGGUGAAAUGCGUAGAUAUCGUAAGGAAGACCAGUGGCGAAGGCGGGUCUCUGGACAGUUCCUGACGCUGAGGCACGAAGGCCAGGGGAGCAAACGGG
rnacentral:rRNA from 1 species